rnacentral:rRNA from 1 species
GGUUAAGCGACUAAGCGUACACGGUGGAUGCCCUGGCAGUCAGAGGCGAUGAAGGACGUGCUAAUCUGCGAUAAGCGUCGGUAAGGUGAUAUGAACCGUUAUAACCGGCGAUUUCCGAAUGGGGAAACCCAGUGUGUUUCGACACACUAUCAUUAACUGAAUCCAUAGGUUAAUGAGGCGAACCGGGGGAACUGAAACAUCUAAGUACCCCGAGGAAAAGAAAUCAACCGAGAUUCCCCCAGUAGCGGCGAGCGAACGGGGAGGAGCCCAGAGCCUGAAUCAGUGUGUGUGUUAGUGGAAGCGUCUGGAAAGGCGCGCGAUACAGGGUGACAGCCCCGUACACAAAAAUGCACAUGCUGUGAGCUCGAUGAGUAGGGCGGGACACGUGGUAUCCUGUCUGAAUAUGGGGGGACCAUCCUCCAAGGCUAAAUACUCCUGACUGACCGAUAGUGAACCAGUACCGUGAGGGAAAGGCGAAAAGAACCCCGGCGAGGGGAGUGAAAAAGAACCUGAAACCGUGUACGUACAAGCAGUGGGAGCCUCUUUUAUGGGGUGACUGCGUACCUUUUGUAUAAUGGGUCAGCGACUUAUAUUCUGUAGCAAGGUUAACCGAAUAGGGGAGCCGAAGGGAAACCGAGUCUUAACUGGGCGUUAAGUUGCAGGGUAUAGACCCGAAACCCGGUGAUCUAGCCAUGGGCAGGUUGAAGGUUGGGUAACACUAACUGGAGGACCGAACCGACUAAUGUUGAAAAAUUAGCGGAUGACUUGUGGCUGGGGGUGAAAGGCCAAUCAAACCGGGAGAUAGCUGGUUCUCCCCGAAAGCUAUUUAGGUAGCGCCUCGUGAAUUCAUCUCCGGGGGUAGAGCACUGUUUCGGCAAGGGGGUCAUCCCGACUUACCAACCCGAUGCAAACUGCGAAUACCGGAGAAUGUUAUCACGGGAGACACACGGCGGGUGCUAACGUCCGUCGUGAAGAGGGAAACAACCCAGACCGCCAGCUAAGGUCCCAAAGUCAUGGUUAAGUGGGAAACGAUGUGGGAAGGCCCAGACAGCCAGGAUGUUGGCUUAGAAGCAGCCAUCAUUUAAAGAAAGCGUAAUAGCUCACUGGUCGAGUCGGCCUGCGCGGAAGAUGUAACGGGGCUAAACCAUG